rnacentral:rRNA from 1 species
UACGGAGGGUGCAAGCGUUAUCCGGAUUCACUGGGUUUAAAGGGUGCGUAGGUGGGUCUGCAAGUCAGUGGUGAAAUCUCUAGGCUUAACCUAGAAACUGCCAUUGAUACUAUAGGUCUUGAAUUUUCUGGAGGUAAGCGGAAUAUGUCAUGUAGCGGUGAAAUGCUUAGAUAUGACAUAGAACACCAAUUGCGAAGGCAGCUUACUACAGGAACAUUGACACUGAGGCACGAAAGCGUGGGGAUCAAACAGG